rnacentral:rRNA from 1 species
AUGGAUCGCCGCCGCCGCCGACCCUCCUCGCCAUCGCCGGCGGCGGAGCAUCCGCUGGAAGACGACGACCUACUGCGGGAGAUCCUGCUCCGCCUACCCUCGCAGCCGCCCUACCUCCUGCGCGCCUCCCUCGUCGCCAAGCGCUGGCGACACAUCGCCAUCGACCCCAAGUUCCUCCGCCGCUUCCGCGUCCACCACCGGAAGCCUCCCCUCCUCGGGGACUUCUCGUAUGAGUACGGGAGACUCUCGUCCAGAUCCACCCUGGACCUGCCCUACCGCAUCCCUCCCGGCCACUUCUCCCUACAACUACAAGUCCACGGCCGCGAUCCAUGGAGGUUGGUCGACUGCCGCCACGGACGCGUGCUCCUUCUCAACAGGGAGAGGCGUCAGGUCAUUGUGUGGGACCCCGUGACUGGCGACCGCUCCCUCUUGUCGGUUCCGCCGGAGUUUGAAGACAUGCAUACCGCGGCGGUGCUCUGCGCUGCCGGCGAGCAGGGCCACGCGCAUUGUGCCUGCCACUCGAGCCCUUUUAAAGUGGUCGUGGUGGACAGCUAUGAGCACGAUAAUGAAGCCGUCGCCUUCACAAGUGUUUACUGCUCAGAGACUGGCGUAUGGAGUGAUCUCCUCUCAACACCGCUUCCAUAUAGGGGUGUUACUGUUGUUAAUGCCGGCACACUUGUUGGUAACACCCUUCAUUGGUUGCUUAAGAGGCAUAGCGGCAUACUUGAGUUUGAUUUGGAUAGACAGACGCUAGCUGUGAUCCAUAGGCCACCUGGUGCUUAUUACGGUGACAGUGUUCGGAUCAUCCAGGUAGAUGAUAGCAGUGUUGGCUUCUCUGCUUUGUCGUGCACCCGCUGCCCGUUCCCCUGCUACCACCAACCCUGUUUCCAAAUGUGGGAUAGGAAGGUCAAUUGCAAUGGUGUUGCUGUUUGGGUGUUGAGGAAAUGCAUUGAACUGCAGAAGCUACUUGGGUUGGGGUUUAAGAUUGAGAAGGAGAGGGCACGGAUAGUGCAUUAUGCUGAGGAUGUUCAUGCAUUAUUUUUAUGGGUGCACUCAUCUCUCUUCAUGGUUCAGCUUGAGUCAAUGCAGCCCAAGGAGCUUUUUAAAAGCGAUAAUAUUCACACCUAUUAUCCUUUCACAGGUUUCUAUGAUGAAGGUAUCAGUAGUUUGAAGGAGAAGUAG